rnacentral:rRNA from 1 species
GGGCCCGCACAAGCGGUGGAGUAUGUGGUUUAAUUCGAUGCAACGCGAAGAACCUUACCAGGGUUUGACAUCCUGCGAACCUCUUGGAAACGAGAGGGUGCCUUCGGGAACGCAGUGACAGGUGGUGCAUGGCUGUCGUCAGCUCGUGUCGUGAGAUGUUGGGUUAAGUCCCGCAACGAGCGCAACCCACGUCUUUAGUUGCCAGCAUUUAGUUGGGCACUCUAGAGAGACCGCCGGUGAUAAACCGGAGAAGGUGUGGAUGACGUCAAGUCAUCAUGCCCCUUAUGUCCAGGGCUGCACGCAUGCUACAAUGGCAAGUACAACGAGUCGCAAUACCGCGAGGUGGAGCAAAUCCCAUAAACCGUGGCUC